AUUUAUAAUCCAUAAAGAAGAGUAAAGGAGAAAGUGUGUCCCUAAUCAACAGCAUAAAAGUUGUCGAUAACACAAACACAUGAGGCCGACCCGACCAUCGUUGUUAAUACCAACGUCCACUAGGGCAUCCUCUUCCUCUUCUUCAUCCUCAUUCUAAAAGCGACCUUUAAAUCCCUCCACAAAGGUUUGGACAGCCAUGGGCAACAUACUAGCAAACUCAUCUCAUCGCUUCUUGGUUUUGAGUUCCUUAUGGGAGGACUUACUCACUCUGAUCCCUAGGUGAC
rnacentral:lncRNA from 1 species